GGGGCUGUAGCUCAGUGGUAGAGCACUUGCCUAGCAUGCAAAUGCCUGGACUCCAUGCCCAGCACUG
rnacentral:tRNA from 1 species